ensembl:ncRNA lncRNA:CR45941 long non-coding RNA:CR45941
AGUUGAGACGAUUUAUUGCCCGAAAGAGUAUCGCAAACAGGACAGAUGCUGCAAUGCAGGAAGCCAAAGGAUGUGGAACUCUUGGCUAUGACAGGCCAAAGGAUUAUGUGUCCUUAGCCAGCGUUCUCUUUGUGUCUCCAGUUAUCUGGUUCUCGUAAGCCAGCAAUUUUUCAUUGAAUAGGAGACCGCAGGAAGCAGGGGCGUUACACCUGGCCUCCAGAAUAAACCACAAAACCGUAGAAACUCUUUCCCUACCGAAUGACUUAAUACAAUCUGACUGCUGGCAUCGAUGAAGACAAACAGAAUCAGGUGUGUAAACAAUAUUUCGGGGUACAAAUCGGUCUCGCAAGCCGGAAUCAGAAAUCUGUUUAGCCCAGAAUGUGGAUUGCUCCGAGUUCUUACACAAAUAUUUUGACAAAACGCCUGCUGUUUUCCACAUAAAUAUUUAUAUUUGCCCCGAAUGCACCACACACACACACACACACACACACCAAAUACCCACUCUCCCGGCAGCCGAAACCCGAAGGAUUCGGAGUAUCUUAUCGUGGCAUCUCUACCUGCCGCAGACUUCGAACAUGGACCAGCAUCAUUGUAUCUGUAUCUCUGUAUCUGUAUCUUCUGACAUCACACGGGCGCAUUAAUCUGUCGUGCGUACACAAAUUCUGGACCUCUUUCCUCGUCCUCGGAAAUCGAAUCCACAAUCCACAAAAAUGCAGUUAAAUAAAUUAC